CUUUGACUUGAUAAUAAGUUAUGUCUAUGGUUAUUUAAAAAUAAUUUUUUGAUAGCUUUAUGAUAAGAUCCUUAUUCACGUGAGAAAAGAGGAAUCUAAAUUUUGAUUGAUUGAAAAAAUAAAAGUUCGCUGUGAAAAACGCGAGUGACAUUUCGAGUGUAAAUGACCCUAGUUGCUUACAAAGUAUUAAAAAUCAUUCAAUCUUCUGUAAAAGAUAGAGAAUGUGACUUUAUGAUAUUUUUCACUUGCGGUCUUUGCAUAUAAAUAUUUAUGUUUUAGAUUGAUGGACAUUCUUUAUUAAAAAAAAAAAAAAAAAAAAAAAGAGAAGAAAAAGGGAAAGGAAGAAAAGAAGUUGAGAUGAGAAACGACGAGGUGAAUAUUUGGCGAGAAAAGUACAGGUAGAAAUUGCGGCCGCGAAACAGGGGUAUGAUUCAGAGCCGUGAACCGUUGUAGACCAGCGUUGUCGUGCGGCGGUGUAUGUGGAGCGUACAAGGGUAAGAUAGAAGGAUUCGCAGCCGCCCCAGUUGAAGCAUUGUACCGUGGUUACCAGAGAUAAGGCAUGAAAUUAAAUUCGACGGAAUGUGGGUCGUCGUGGCAUCCCUCCUUUCGCGACCGUGCUACGGCCAACGACGAUGUCGACGCCGACGUCGCGAGCACACACCAACGUCCUCCGCGUUGUCGUUGUCGUUGUCGUUGUCGUUGUCGUCGUCGUGGUCGUUGUCGUCGUCGCCGUCGUCGUCGACCAUGUUACCGAGAUCGUGCCACUGCACUGUACAGAGUGUUUCAGAAAUAUUGAUCGAUUGAUUGUAAAUUAGUAAUAGAAAAAAGUAAUAAAUGGAAGAUACAUAUUUUUUGUAUUUUUACAUGAUAUUGUAUUAAAGUUAAAUGAAAUACGAUACAAUACAAUAAAAAUUGAAAUUAAUCUAUUAACUGGAGAAGGUGCGAUUGAUUCGUCAUUCGGAUAAUAUUUCUUUUAUUUGGAGGUAUCGUUUCAUGUAAAAAGUGUUUAAACUUCGUACUUAGGUUUCUGUUUAAAGGACAACUCGUUUAAAGGAUCAAGUGGUUGUAUUGGUAACAGUUGUAUUUUACUUCAUUUAUUUUCAUUUGCAUCGUAUUUUAGUUGUACUAUAUUGUAUUUCGUUCAAUUUUACUUUAUAUUGUGUUAUAAUUGAUUUCGCUUUAAUUGUAUCGUAUCGUAUUUCAUUUAUUCUGAAUUAGAUUAUAUUUUGUGUUUCGAGUUCUGGCUGAAUAAUAUAAUAAUGUUGCUUGAUUGAGUUGUAACUCUGAAACACCUUGUAUACCACGUGGAACGAGAAUUUACGAUUCAACGAACACGUUGAAUCGAGACGAAUUCAGCUAAACUCGAUAAAAAGAAGACGUGGAAAGAUCGGUCGGCCGAAUGUGGAGGCGUCUGCCUGUUUCUCCUCCAAGAAAAUUUGAUCGAUGAAGGAAUUGAUCUUCCCUUUUUGUUUCAUGAUUGAUAAGAUGUUUUAACCGAUGGGACUCAUACACGAGAAAUUUUAGUGUAAAAGUGCCUCGAGGUGGAUUUUGAUGGAUAGAAGAUUACAUCAUAACGUUAUCAGGAAAUUAAUAAGAAACGUCAAGAUAUUUCUCAGAAAAAUUUGAAAAUCUCUUCCGAGGAAAAGAGAAUUUUCAAAAGAUAAAUUAUAUAUUACAAAAAACUGAUAAGAACCAGCAGGAAAUUGAUUUUCAAAGAAACAAGAAAAUUGUUAACUGAUGAAGAAAAGACUUUGAGUAGUAACUUGGUACGAUAUCCUUAAGAAAUUAAUAAAAGUUUUUAAAAAUUAUUUUUUUUUUACGGAAGAUAGAAGAUUGACUGCGGGGAAAAUAUAAAACAUUACGUUACAAUAUUCCUUAGAAAAAUAAUUAAGAAAGAAAUUAAUAAAUUGGUAAUGGAUAAAAGGACUUUGUGGGGUUCGCCAAAAGUGUAAUUUAAAAUUUAAUUUCUUUUUUUUUUGUUAUACAUAUACAGAUUAUACCGUACUUGUAGUAUUCAUUAACUAUUCAUAUUAUAUCUGUAAUUUAAUUGUGCAAGGAUAAGAAUUAAUAGAAUCGGUUACGUAUUUCCGAGAAUAUCUUCUACCUCCUUUAUUAACACUUUAUGCAAAUUUCAAAUGUGAGAUAGUAAAUAACAUUCAACUAAAUAGCUGUACCAUAGCUACAUAAGAGUCGAUAUUUCGUUCUACGCUCGAUUUCCUUUAUCGCAGAUGGCGUAACCAUUUCCUGUAACAUUCUCGGGCUAUUCGAGAUGCAAGAUGCAACUAUGCGAUCGGUCCGAGCAUCUGUUGUCAGGUGGUAAACGCGAAGGAAUCGCAAUCCUCUGGGGAUAGGCCAGUUUAAUUGGAAUUGAUGCUGCAAGCCCAGCGCUACAAUCGACACAGCUCUAACGCGCGUAACUAAUUAACACGCCGGAGAUAAUCCAAGUGAAUCGCGUCUAAGCAAUAGCUCCCCCGUGAUGUAGUCGAUCGUACCACAAUAGAGGUUAUGAGAGCGUCAGAAAUCGAACGUACCAAUAUAUCUCGUGAGCUGACCUAUUCGAUCAGGAUUAUGCGUUAUGUAUUCGUGAAGAUGUUUUGAUAUUGUACGAGGGGAAAAAGCGAGCGGACACAGACGAAUCGACCAGCGACGAGGGGAAACGUUUGCGUGGAUUGGGCGGCUGGUGGAGAUAACGAGCGGCGGUACGCGGAAAGCAGGAAGUUGGCAUGAAAAAGUAGAUACAAAAUGAGCUGUAGAUGCCACGAUAAGGUGUUACGGGGAUGAUGGAAGGAAGAAAGGAAAAAUUAAACGAUGAUGAUGGCAGAGGAACAAACGAGAGCGGUGCGCUGGAAGUUACCAAGAAAAAUGGCUAGUUGUUCCUUGAAUCUGCCGGAGUAAUAGAUGACGGAGGAUUAAAUCCCAAGACUAUCCGGUUUAUCUUUUUGCUAGAAUUUGUUUUAUUAAAAUGUUUCGUGACACUGGAUGGCAUUCGAUUUCCCGGAAGGGUCUAAUGGCGUGUGUUUCACGAUCCGCAUGGAUAAUUGCGUGAAAACGAGCCGAGCCAAACCACCACG